CUGUAUUAUGAAUGGUCAACCAUUUGAUAAGAGGUAGAGCAUUUUAUUUUAAUAAAACAUUUGGUUACAUGGAUUCAAUGUAAAUAUUACAUAUGACUGUGCUCAACAGGUAAAAAAAAGUGAAUUGUUCCAGCAUUUGAUUACACAUGAGAGCUUCUGUGGGUAGUCAUAGCAAUGGGGCCUUCAUUGUGACAUCACAAGAUUCUGAUUCUGGGAGGUUAGCUGUUGCACAGACAAACAGAACAGUGCAAAGAGACUGAUUCAACUAACCACUGACAGAUUAUUCAUGUCCUAUUUCAUUAGCAAGAGAACACGCUGCUUACUUGAGAGGUAGGUUGUAAUAUAACUUAUAGUUUAACUAUGUUUCUGUAGAAUAACUACUUUUUAAAUGACUUGUACUAACAUGAACCUUUAAGUAGGCCUGACAUGCAAUCAUGGUGAUAAGUGAAACUAUUGACGAGAGACAGUUUGCUUGAAUCCACUUUUUUGUGACAAAAUUGUUCAUCCUGACAACUGAGAUGGAAUGUUACAGUUGUUGUAGUCAGCCAGCCUAAUGGCAAAUACAUUCUAUUGAUGAAAGAAAACCGCAUCUCUGUGUUAUUCCCCAACAUACAUUGUAAUCAAUUAUCUCUAUAAAUAUGUAACACAAGGGUAGGUUGUGUAAAAAAACAAGUAGGCGAACUUGGCUAACUUGUAGUUGGUAAUUUAAAAAUCUAAUUUAAAAAUCAGAUUUUCUUGAUUGAAUGGUCAUCCAUUUCAAAUGGUUGAAUUGAUAAACCUCAUUAAAUUGAGUUGCAAUCAGAGGCACUCAAAGAGAAGACUGGAGUGAUUCAAAUAGAUGAAGCUGUACAACAAGUUAGGUCCAUGAUGGGUAUAGAGUCACUUUCUUCCUCCAAAACCUUUUUGAAUGAUAUUAUAUAAGUGAUUAGUGUGGUUUGUGAGAACCAGACAUGGAGGAAGACAUGGAGGGUUCAACGCUGACACAGAGGAGGGCUGAGUGUCAGUUGAAGGAAAGGGAGAUCCAGACAGACUACAUGAUGGAGCUGGGAGCCAGGUUGGCUCUGGUGAGACAGAUCCAGAGGGAGCAGGAGAAGGAGAUGAAGAGGAUUUGGUUUGAGACGAGGAAAAUGCCAAGCCUGAUUGAGGAGAAUGUGAGAGAUGUGACCAACCGUCCACUCACUGAGUUCAUGGCUCCCUGUAUUGACUCCCUCCCACCACUGGCUUUCACCAAUCGGAGGCCUAUACCAACCAUGUUGCAUCCCCCCUCUCCAUUGGCCAUACGCACUCAGGAUGCACAGCGGUUCAUUGUAUUCUCCUACUUUGUCCCUGCUGAGUGCCCAGGUUCCACAGAGGCCACUGCAGAUGUAUCUGCUGGUACAAGAGAGGACUUAUCGACAGAUACACAUCUAUCCUCAAAGCUGCAUCGAUACCUGCCACACUUCUUUAACGAUGACUCCAUUCCACCACAGCAGACAGUAGAGGGAACCACUGAGGUCUCAGUUGCUCCAGUGGCAAUAUCUAAUAUCAAGGAAGAGGACAGAUUCUAUCCUUUCUCCCUCCCACCACUGGCUCAGCGGCUCAUUGGCAAUUCAUUCAAUGUCCCGGAAACAUCCCAGCUUGCUGUUUCAGCCACGGAGUGCCGAGUUGCCACAGUGGACACUGCAGGUACAGCAACUGUCAAGAGAGAGAACCGAUGGGCAGCUAGAAUUCUUCCUUCAGUGCUGCCUCCAUGCCUGCCACCAGUCAUUGACAUUGACUACAAACUGCCAGGGGCGGCAGUAGAGGGCACCAGCAAGUGUCCAGUUGCCAGUGAAGUAGCCGCUUCCGUAUCUACUGUCCUCCAAGACGAGUUUUUGACUGAUAAAAGUCCUCCUGCACCCACAUCACUGCCUCUAAGGCUGCCCUGGACCCACAUUGACCACAAACACCCAGAGGAGACCGUUGAGAACACCACAGAGUGCUCAGUUGACAUAGGGGCAUGUGCAGUUGCAUCCACUGUCAAGAGAGAGGAAAUGAUGGGUGAUAAAAGCCCUGUCCAUGCACUUCCUCCAAGCCUGGCAUGCAUCCAUGACAAGGACCACAAGCAGCCAGAUCAGAAAGGGAGGGGCACUACUGAGGAGGUGGAUAUCUGUCCUCACGCUCAACAGCUGUUCUCAGAUGCUAACUUAACUCUGGCAACCCGCAAUGAUGAGCUGCCCACCCCUCUGAUCUGCGUGGUCACUAAGAUGCCUGUUAGAGUUGGAGCCUCCACAUGCAGUUCAGAGGGUGAGGAACCCAGGCCCUGGACCCUGGAAGAGGCAAAGGUAGGUGUUGUAUUUCACCCUACUACAUUACAGGGAUGGUGGUCAGUUCCAUUUCAAUUCAAUGCGUUGAAGAGAAUUGGAAUUUUAGAGAACUUCCUGAAUUGAUCGGAAUUUAAAUGGAAUUGACCCCAACCCUGCUGCUCUUUGCAAUAGUAUAAAACAUCACCCCUCACUAGGGUUAACAUGUGUAUUACUUUUAGUAUGGACCCAGGAAGUAAAUUUAUAGGUAUUGUAAAAUCUAAUGAGGAUACAAAAAAACAAAUGACCUUAAUUACUGUCCCCCAAAUUGUGUUCCCAAUGAGGCCGUCAUUGUAUGUUGAUCACUCAAUUGUGUAUGGAAUGUGCCACACUGGAACAAUUUUACAUCUAGAGUCAAUGUCUCCCUGUUAGGAUUAUUGGAUAGGAAUUGAAAUUGAGAGUGAAGAGAGGAGCGUCACUGAGGAGGUGAGCCCGAGGGAGGGAUUGAAGAGUGAGGCGGAUUGUGCCCAUUCCAAGUGCUCCAAUGGGACGGUUUCAUCAGAGAGAGCAGAGACCAUCCUGGGAAGAGUGGGCUUUCUGCUCAUGAACCAAAUGCAGAAAAUCCCGUUCUUGAAGAUGGAGGAAAAAGAGAAAAAUAAGAAACUGAAUAAGAAGUUGAAAGAUGAAGAGAGAAAGGAGAUGAAAGAGAAGGAGGAGGAGCAAAAAAAGAGGGAGAAGAAAGAGAUGAAGGAGAGAGAGAAAGAGCAGAAGAAAGUCAUGAAGGCUGAGAAGAAGAGGGAGAAGUUCGAACAGAAAAUGAGAGAGAAGGAAAGAAUAGAGAAGGAAAAGGCAGAGAAAAAGAGGUUAGAGGGGCUGAUGAAGAUACAUAAUGACAUGAUGAAAGACAGGAUUAAGAAAGAGAAGAAGUGUUAUGAGGAGCUAAAAAAGAGAAAGCUCAAGCUGCAUUCUUGGAGAUGGAGAGAAAGAUUCAAGAAAAGGAGGAGAAGAAGAGAGAAAAGAUGAGGAGAGAGGAGAGGAAGAGACUGGAGAAGAAGAGGAAGAGGGAGCCAGCUGGAGGUGGAACUGAGACGGUGAUAGAAGAGCAGGGAAGGGAUGAAAGCUUGAAGAUGGAUGAGUAGACUGGGUAAUAGAGAGUAGGGAGGGAGGGAGAGAUGGUAUUUUUGCAUGCAAUGAAAAAACAAAGCAUUUAAAAAUACAAUUAAAAAUAUUAACUCUGAUUUUUGUUAAGGCAUACUGUACAACACUGUAUAAACACAACAUGUUGACUUUUCACAUCUG
rnacentral:lncRNA from 1 species